GACGAACGCUGGCGGCGUGCCUAAUACAUGCAAGUAGAACGCUGAAGAGAGGAGCUUACUCUUCUUGGAUGAGUUGCGAACGGGUGAGUAACGCGUAGGUAACCUGCCUUGUAGCGGGGGAUAACUAUUGGAAACGAUAGCUAAUACCGCAUAACAAUGGAUGACACAUGUCAUUUAUUUGAAAGGGGCAAUUGCUCCACUACAAGAUGGACCUGCGUUGUAUUAGCUAGUAGGUGAGGUAAUGGCUCACCUAGGCGACGAUACAUAGCCGACCUGAGAGGGUGAUCGGCCACACUGGGACUGAGACACGGCCCAGACUCCUACGGGAGGCAGCAGUAGGGAAUCUUCGGCAACGGGGGCAACCCUGACCGAGCAACGCCGCGUGAGUGAAGAAGGUUUUCGGAUCGUAAAGCUCUGUUGUAAGUCAAGAACGGGUGUGAGAGUGGAAAGUUCACACUGUGACGGUAGCUUACCAGAAAGGGACGGCUAACUACGUG
rnacentral:rRNA from 1 species